rnacentral:rRNA from 1 species
GAUGAACGCUGGCGGCGUGCUUAACACAUGCAAGUCGAACGAAGCACUUUAUUUGAUUUCCUUCGGGACUGAUUAUUUUGUGACUGAGUGGCGGACGGGUGAGUAACGCGUGGGUAACCUGCCUUGUACAGGGGGAUAACAGUUGGAAACGUCUGCUAAUACCGCAUAAGCGCACGGCAUCGCAUGAUGCAUUGUGAAAAACUCCGGUGGUAUAAGAUGGACCCGCGUUGGAUUAGCUAGUUGGUGAGGUAACGGCCCACCAAGGCGACGAUCCAUAGCCGACAUGAGAAGGUGACCGGCCACAUUGGGACUGAGACACGGACGAAACUCCUAGGGGAGGAAGCAGUGGGGAAUAAUGAACGAUGGGCGAAAGCCUGAUGCAGCGACGCCGCGUGAGCGAAGAAGUAGUUCGGUAUGUAAAGCUGUAUGAGAAGGGAAGAUAAUGACGGUACCUGACUAAGAAGCACCGGCUAAAUACGUG